rnacentral:rRNA from 1 species
GACGAACGCUGGCGGCGUGCUUAACACAUGCAAGUCGAACGGAAAGGCCCUGCUUUUGUGGGGUGCUCGAGUGGCGAACGGGUGAGUAACACGUGAGUAACCUGCCCUUGACUUUGGGAUAACUUCAGGAACUGGGGCUAAUACCGGAUAGGAGCUCCUGCUGCAUGGUGGGGGUUGGAAAGUUUCGGCGGUUGGGGAUGGACUCGCGGCUUAUCAGCUUGUUGGUGGGGUAGUGGCUUACCAAGGCUUUGACGGGUAGCCGGCCUGAGGGGGUGACCGGCCACAUUGGGACUGAGAUACGGCCCAGACUCCUACGGGAGGCAGCAGUGGGGAAUAUUGCACAAUGGGCGGAAGCCUGAUGCAGCAACGCCGCGUGCGGGAUGACGGCCUUCGGGUUGUAAACCGCUUUCGCCUGUGACGAAGCGUGAGUGACGGUAAUGGGUAAAGAAGCACCGGCUAACUACGUG